rnacentral:rRNA from 1 species
AGUGAACGCUGGCGGUAGGCCUAACACAUGCAAGUCGAACGGCAGCACAGUAAGAGCUUGCUCUUACGGGUGGGGAGUGGCGGACGGGUGAGGAAUACAUCGGAAUCUACUUUUUCGUGGGGGAUCACGUAGGGAAACUUACGCUAAUACCGCAUACGACCUACGGGUGAAAGCAGGGGAUCUUCGGACCUUGCGGGAUUGAAUGAGCCGAUGACGGAUUAGCUAGUUGGCGGGGUAAAGGCCCACCAAGGCGACGAUCCGUAGCUGGUCUGAGAGGAUGAUCAGCCACACUGGAACUGAGACACGGUCAAGACUCCUACGGGAGGCAGCAGUGGGGAAUAUUGGACAAUGGGCGCAAGCCUGAUCCAGCCAUACCGCGUGGGUGAAGAAGGCCUUCGGGUUGUAAAGCCCUUUUGUUGGGAAAGAAAAGCAGCAGGUUAAUACCCCGCUGUUCUGACGGUACCCAAAGAAUAAGCACCGGCUAACUUCGUG